rnacentral:lncRNA from 1 species
CUAAUAAUUCCUCUUCUUCUCUCCCUAUGUCACAGUGUGAUCAUAUACAUCCUUCCCUUGGCAAGAUCAAGGCUGCAUCUGAUUAAGCCAAUUUGGGCAGGCUGUUUAUAGUCACUGCCUAAUCAUUGAGAGAGUUUACACCAUGAAUGGGAUCAUCGGCCACCCAUUCGACAUGAGACUGCCAUUGGAUAUUUACAUCAUUUCAGCCAAAGCACCUUGCAGAUCUCACUUUCUUCUCCUCUCGCUCCUAGGAUGAUUGGCAGAUGCCAUGCAGGACUCCUCCACUAUUGGCUGACACCCUCCAAGGAAACUGCCAGAUCAAAGUUUGAUUAGUUAGAGGGCACAUCCCUGAAUGCCACAGCAGAAACUAAUGAUUCCACAGCAAGAGAGCCAUGCCCUGAUGUCACUGCCUAGCUGGUGCAGAUGUUGAAAGCAGAGUUCCUUCAUCUCCCAACCAGCUGCCCUCCCCAAGCCUCUCUGCCUUGAGUCUAUUCUCUGCACUCCCCUCUGAUAAUCAUUGGAUAGCUUUCCAUACAAGGUCAAAAUCCUUUACAACCUGACCCCAGCCUUUUAUCUCUGACCACCCUGUACAUUACACCGUUUACUCCAACCAUCGGCAACCAACAUCCAUUUCCUGAAACGCAAUCCACUCUUAAGUCUGGUGACCUUUGCACAUACUGUCUCUUCUGACUAAAAUGUUUUUCCCUUUGACUGACACCAAUCCAACCUAUAAGACCUUGUCCAAAUAGCAUCUCCUCCAUGCUACCCCCUAUCUGGGUUCCAACUUCACAACAUACAUGCUUCUAGUGCAACACUAAUCUCAUUUGCUAUGGUUUGGAUAUUUGUCCCCUCCAAACCUUAUAUUGAAAUUUGAUCCCCAGUGUUGGAAGUGGGGCUUAAUGAGAGGUGUUUGGGUCAUGGAGGUAGAUUCCUCAUGAAUACAUUAAUGACCUGAAUUGGGGGAAUGAGAGAGUUAUUACUCUAUUAGCUCCCUCAAGAGCUGAUUGUUUAAUAGGCCCUGGCACCUCUUCCCACCUUGUUUUCUCUCUAGCCAUGUGAUCUCUGGACACACUGGCUCCCAUUUGCCUUCCACCAUAGUAGAAGCAGCCUGAGGCCCUCAGAUGCAGAUGCUGGUGCCAUGUUUCUCGUACAGUCUUGAGUUACCAUGCGCCAAAUAAACCUCUUUUCUUUAUAAGUUACCCAGUUUUCACUAAGGCAACACUGUUAUAAAUUCAUUCUGCUGUGUUAUAAAUUAAUUCUUUGUCAGUUCCUGAACUCCUCGAGGUCAGGAGUAUGUCUUGUGUUUCUAAUUUCUGCAGGAAAUCCUGCAGCAAUGAGGUUCAGUGUAAAUCCACUGAACAAAC